UCCUUCACUGCAAGGGGAAAAAGUUCACUGAUUUUGACGAAGUUCGUCAGGAGAUCGAGGCUGAGACGGAUCGCGUGACUGGACAAAACAAAGGGAUCAGUCCAGUCCCCAUCAACCUCAGGGUCUAUUCACCCAACGUGCUGAACCUGACGCUCGUAGAUCUCCCCGGGAUGACGAAGGUUCCGGUCGGAGACCAGCCGGCUGACAUAGAACACCAGA